rnacentral:rRNA from 1 species
ACGAUGAUCCGGUGCUUGCACCGGGGAUUAGUGGCGAACGGGUGAGUAACACGUGAGUAACCUGCCCUUAACUCUGGGAUAAGCCUGGGAAACUGGGUCUAAUACCGGAUAUGACUCCUCAUCGCAUGGUGGGGGGUGGAAAGCUUUAUUGUGGUUUUGGAUGGACUCGCGGCCUAUCAGCUUGUUGGUGAGGUAAUGGCUUACCAAGGCGACGACGGGUAGCCGGCCUGAGAGGGUGACCGGCCACACUGGGACUGAGACACGGCCCAGACUCCUACGGGAGGCAGCAGUGGGGAAUAUUGCACAAUGGGCGCAAGCCUGAUGCAGCGACGCCGCGUGAGGGAUGACGGCCUUCGGGUUGUAAACCUCUUUCAGUAGGGAAGAAGCGAAAGUGACGGUACCUGCAGAAGAAGCGCCGGCUAACUACGUGCCAGCAGCCGCGGUAAUACGUAGGGCGCAAGCGUUAUCCGGAAUUAUUGGGCGUAAAGAGCUCGUAGGCGGUUUGUCGCGUCUGCCGUGAAAGUCCGGGGCUCAACUCCGGAUCUGCGGUGGGUACGGGCAGACUAGAGUGAUGUAGGGGAGACUGGAAUUCCUGGUGUAGCGGUGAAAUGCGCAGAUAUCAGGAGGAACACCGAUGGCGAAGGCAGGUCUCUGGGCAU